rnacentral:rRNA from 2 species
UGCUGGAGGUAUCAGAAGUGCGAAUGCUGACAUAAGUAACGAUAAAGCGGGUGAAAAGCCCGCUCGCCGGAAGACCAAGGGUUCCUGUCCAACGUUAAUCGGGGCAGGGUGAGUCGACCCCUAAGGCGAGGCCGAAAGGCGUAGUCGAUGGGAAACGGGUUAAUAUUCCCGUACUUGGUGUUACUGCGAAGGGGGGACGGAGAAGGCUAUGUUGGCCGGGCGACGGUUGUCCCGGUUUAAGCGUGUAGGCUGGUUUUCCAGGCAAAUCCGGAAAAUCAAGGCUGAGGCGUGAUGACGAGGCACUACGGUGCUGAAGCAACAAAUGCCCUGCUUCCAGGAAAAGCCUCUAAGCAUCAGGUAACAUCAAAUCGUACCCCAAACCGACACAGGUGGUCAGGUAGAGAAUACCAAGGCGCUUGAGAGAACUCGGGUGAAGGAACUAGGCAAAAUGGUGCCGUAACUUCGGGAGAAGGCACGCUGACACGUAGGUGAAGUGAUUUACUCAUGGAGCUGAAGUCAGUCGAAGAUACCAGCUGGCUGCAACUGUUUAUUAAAAACACAGCACUGUGCAAACACGAAAGUGGACGUAUACGGUGUGACGCCUGCCCGGUGCCGGAAGGUUAAUUGAUGGGGUCAGCGCAAGCGAAGCUCCUGAUCGAAGCCCCGGUAAACGGCGGCCGUAACUAUAACGGUCCUAAGGUAGCGAAAUUCCUUGUCGGGUAAGUUCCGACCUGCACGAAUGGCGUAAUGAUGGCCAGGCUGUCUCCACCCGAGACUCAGUGAAAUUGAACUCGCUGUGAAGAUGCAGUGUACCCGCGGCAAGACGGAAAGACCCCGUGAACCUUUACUAUAGCUUGACACUGAACAUUGAGCCUUGAUGUGUAGGAUAGGUGGGAGGCUUUGAAGUGUGGACGCCAGUCUGCAUGGAGCCGACCUUGAAAUACCACCCUUUAAUGUUUGAUGUUCUAACGUGGACCCGUAAUCCGGGUUGCGGACAGUGUCUGGUGGGUAGUUUGACUGGGGCGGUCUCCUCCUAAAGAGUAACGGAGGAGCACGAAGGUUGGCUAAUCCUGGUCGGACAUCAGGAGGUUAGUGCAAUGGCAUAAGCCAGCUUGACUGCGAGCGUGACGGCGCGAGCAGGUGCGAAAGCAGGUCAUAGUGAUCCGGUGGUUCUGAAUGGAAGGGCCAUCGCUCAACGGAUAAAAGGUACUCCGGGGAUAACAGGCUGAUACCGCCCAAGAGUUCAUAUCGACGGCGGUGUUUGGCACCUCGAUGUCGGCUCAUCACAUCCUGGGGCUGAAGUAGGUCCCAAGGGUAUGGCUGUUCGCCAUUUAAAGUGGUACGCGAGCUGGGUUUAGAACGUCGUGAGACAGUUCGGUCCCUAUCUGCCGUGGGCGCUGGAGAACUGAGGGGGGCUGCUCCUAGUACGAGAGGACCGGAGUGGACGCAUCACUGGUGUUCGGGUUGUCAUGCCAAUGGCACUGCCCGGUAGCUAAAUGCGGAAGAGAUAAGUGCUGAAAGCAUCUAAGCACGAAACUUGCCCCGAGAUGAGUUCUCCCUGAGACUUAGAGUCUCCUGAAGGAACGUUGAAGACGACGACGUUGAUAGGCCGGGUGUGUAAGCGCAGCGAUGCGUUGAGCUAACCGGUACUAAUGAACCGUGAGGCUUAACCUUACAACGCCGAAG